rnacentral:rRNA from 1 species
AUUGAACGCUGGCGGCAUGCUUUACACAUGCAAGUCGAACGGUAACAGGGAGCUUGCUCCGCUGACGAGUGGCGAACGGGUGAGUAAUGCAUCGGAACGUGCCGUGUAAUGGGGGAUAACGUAGCGAAAGUUACGCUAAUACCGCAUACGCCCUGAGGGGGAAAGCGGGGGAUCGUAAGACCUCGCGUUAUACGAGCGGCCGAUGUCGGAUUAGCUAGUUGGUGGGGUAAAGGCCUACCAAGGCGACGAUCCGUAGCGGGUCUGAGAGGAUGAUCCGCCACACUGGGACUGAGACACGGCCCAGACUCCUACGGGAGGCAGCAGUGGGGAAUUUUGGACAAUGGGCGCAAGCCUGAUCCAGCCAUGCCGCGUGAGUGAAGAAGGCCUCGGGUUGUAAGACUCUUUCAGACGGAAAGAAAACUUACCGGGUUAAUACCCUGGAGGAUGACGGUACCGUAAGAAGAAGACACCGGCUAACUACGUAGCCAGCAGCCGCGGUAAU